rnacentral:rRNA from 1 species
CGUUCUCAGUUCGGACUGUAGGCCGCAACUCGCCUACACGAAGCUGGAAUCGCUAGUAAUCGCGGAUCAGCACGCCGCGGUGAAUACGUUCCCGGGCCUUGUACACACCGCCCGUCACACCAUGAGAGUUGAGAAUACCCGAAGCCCAUGUCAAAGUGGUCGAAGGUAGGCUUGAUGAUUGGGGUGAAGUCGUAACAAGGUACC